UACAUUCAUGCUGGCAGAAGUCUGCCUAAAGCUAUCAUGAUGAUGAUACCUGAGGCGUGGCAAAAUGUUAAAAACAUGGAUUGUGAUAGAAACGCCUUAUACGAAUAUUUUUUAGCUCUUAUGGAGCCAUGAGAUGGUCUUGCACUUAUAUCAUUUACUGAUGGCUGCUAUCUUGGAGCGACAUUGGACUGGAAUGGAUUGCGCCCCAGUCGCUUUUACAUCACACAUAGUGGACGCGUGAUCAUGGCCAGUGAGGUUGGUGUUGUAGACAUCUGUUAGGAGAUGUGGCUAGGAAAGGAAGACAUCUGAUCGGUCCAGAAGGGGACCUUACUAAAACAGUUCAUGUGGAAGGCUAUGUGGCAGUUCAUGUGCAUUUGUAUUUUGUUUUGAAAAAAAUAAAUAGACCAUUAAUUAUUUUGUUG